rnacentral:rRNA from 1 species
AGAGUUUGAUCAUGGCUCAGGACGAACGCUGGCGGCGUGCUUAACACAUGCAAGUCGAACGGUAAGGCCCUUCGGGGUACACGAGUGGCGAACGGGUGAGUAACACGUGGGUGAUCUGCCCUGCACUUUGGGAUAAGCCUGGGAAACUGGGUCUAAUACCGAAUAUGACCAUGGACUUCACGGUUUGUGGUGGAAAGCUUUUGCGGUGUGGGAUGGGCCCGCGGCCUAUCAGCUUGUUGGUGGGGUAAUGGCCUACCAAGGCGACGACGGGUAGCCGGCCUGAGAGGGUGUCCGGCCACACUGGGACUGAGAUACGGCCCAGACUCCUACGGGAGGCAGCAGUGGGGAAUAUUGCACAAUGGGCGCAAGCCUGAUGCAGCGACGCCGCGUGAGGGAUGACGGCCUUCGGGUUGUAAACCUCUUUCACCAGGGACGAAGCGCAAGUGACGGUACCUGGAGAAGAAGCACCGGCCAACUACGUGCCAGCAGCCGCGGUAAUACGUAGGGUGCGAGCGUUGUCCGGAAUUACUGGGCGUAAAGAGCUCGUAGGUGGUUUGUCGCGUUGUUCGUGAAAACUCACAGCUUAACUGUGGGCGUGCGGGCGAUACGGGCAGACUGGAGUACUGCAGGGGAGACUGGAAUUCCUGGUGUAGCGGUGGAAUGCGCAGAUAUCAGGAGGAACACCGGUGGCGAAGGCGGGUCUCUGGGCAGUAACUGACGCUGAGGAGCGAAAGCGUGGGGAGCGAACAGGAUUAGAUACCCUGGUAGUCCACGCCGUAAACGGUGGGUACUAGGUGUGGGUUUCCUUCCUUGGGGAUCCGUGCCGUAGCUAACGCAUUAAGUACCCCGCCUGGGGAGUACGGCCGCAAGGCUAAACUCAAAUGAAUUGACGGG